GACGAACGCUGGCGGCGUGCUUAACACAUGCAAGUCGAACGGUGAAGCGCCUUCCUUUUUGGUGGGUGUGGAUGAGUGGCGAACGGGUGAGUAACACGUGAGUAACCUGCCCCCUUCUUCUGGAUAACCGCAUGAAAGUGUGGCUAAUACGGGAUAUUCUGGGUCUGUCGCAUGAUGGGUCUGGGAAAGAUAUUGUUUCGGUGGGGGAUGGGCUCGCGGCCUAUCAGCUUGUUGGGGGGGUGAUGGCCUACCAAGGCGGUGACGGGUAGCCGGCCUGAGAGGGUGGGGGGCCACAGGGGGGCAGAGACCGGACCGGGACCCGGACGGGGGGCGGGAGGGGGGAGGAGGGAACAGGGGGGGAGGGCGUGAGCCGGGGGGGCCGCGUGAGGGUGGGGGCCUUUGGGUGGGGGACCUUCUUCGGCAGGUGAAGCGGCCGUGCCUGGUUGGGGGGGGGUUGGAGGGGAGUUGAAAAGGAGGCCCGGCAUAACUAGGUC
rnacentral:rRNA from 1 species